CCGGCCUCCGCUCCGUUUCCCCAUUCCACCACCGCAACCACCCUUCCACCGUGCAUCCCGAGCCACCUCCACCAUACGCCGCCUCCAGCCGUGUGCCACCGUCGCCUUAGCCGCCGCCGCGUCGCUCCGUCUUCACCUCUCGCCUCGCAGCGCCGUGCAGCACCUCGGUCACCGUUGUUCAUCGCCGGAAACCCACCGGAACGUGGUACCUCUCGGUCGCCGGUCCUGCCGGCCCUCGGCCGCGGCUCCGCCAUGGUCGGGCGUCGUCGGACCGCCGUUCCCGUCGCCUCCCGUGUCGGCCGCCGCCAUCCUUUCCGCCGCCGGUCGCCUCCCCAUGGUCGUCCCGUCGCCGGCGCUCCUCGCGUGUAGUUUCCGUCGUUUCGGAAGUCCGCGGUCGCGAG